rnacentral:lncRNA from 1 species
GGGAAACUGAGGCCCAGGCAGAGAUACAUGGUCACAGAUGGGGAAACUGAGGCCUAGGCAGAGAUACAUGGUCACAGAUGGGGAGACUGAGGCCUGAGCCUCCCAGAGAUACACGGUCACAGAUGGGGAAACUGAGGCCUAGGCAGAGAUACAUGGUCACAGAUGGGGAGACUGAGGCCCAGGCAGAGAUACAUGGUCACAGAUGGGGAAACUGAGGCCCAGGCAGAGAUACACGGUCACAGGUGGGGAAACUGAGGCCCAGGCAGAGAUACACGAUCACAGAUGGGGAGACUGAGGCCUGAGCCUCCCAGAGAUACACGGUCACAGAUGGGGAAACUGAGGGCCAGGCAGAGAAACACGGUCACAGAUGGGGAGACUGAGGCCCAGGCAGAGAUACACGGUCACAGAUCGGGAAACUGAGGCCCAGGCAGAGAUACACAGUCACAGAUGGGGAGACUGAGGCCUGAGCCUCCCAGAGAUACACGGUCACAGAUGGGGAGACUGAGGCCCAGGCAGAGAUACAUGGUCACAGAUGGGGAAACUGAGGCCCAGGCAGAGAUACACGAUCACAGAUGGGGAGACUGAGGCCCAGGCAGAGAUACACGAUCACAGAUGGGGAGACUGAGGCCUGAGCCUCCCAGAGAUACACGGUCACAGAUGGGGAAACUGAGGGCCAGGCAGAGAUACACGGUCACAGAUGGGGAGACUGAGGCCCAGGCAGAGAUACACGGUCACAGAUGGGGAAACUGAGGCCCAGGCAGAGAUACACGGUCACAGAUGGGGAAACUGAGGCCCAGGCAGAGAUACACGGUCACAGAUGGGGAAACUGAGGCCCAGGCAGAGAUACACGAUCACAGAUGGGGAGACUGAGGCCUGAGCCUCCCAGAGAUACACGGUCACAGACGCCAUGUGUUGUGGCUUCUGCAGAAUCUCGAUGCCACAGGGAUCAGGAGAGACCACAGAACCAGCCCGAGGACCUGGCUUGGGGCCUGACUCCAGCCGCUAAUUGUGGGUGAGGAAACUGCGGCCCGUCCUGGGCCCUCACCGAGGCCAGCAGCUGAUGUGGC